UUGACUUCUUGGACUUUUGGCUGAGAUCAAGUGGAUUAUCUGUUCUUAUCAACUUAGUAUGUGAUGUGUCCUCUGUCCAAGGACAAACAAGUUAAAUGGAUUUUUGGAGCAGAAAGAUGGAAUGGAGCAUGUUCAUUCCACUCAUCGGUCUGGUGUGAUCUCUCCUCAAAUGGUCCACACCCU